UACAGAGGCCUCGAGCGUUAGGCGGAAUCACUGGGCUUAAAGCGUGUGUAGGUGGAUGCCUAAGUACCUUGUGAAAUCCCAUGGCUUAACCAUGGAAUUGCUUGGUAUACUGGGUGUCUUGAGCCACUCAGGGGCGAGCGGAACAAACGGUGGAGCGGUGAAAUGCGUAGAUAUCGUUUGGAACGCCAAUGGUGAAAACGAGCUCGCUGG
rnacentral:rRNA from 1 species